CCGAACCGACCACGACACGACCCGGCUCUCCUUACUCGCUCACUCGGCUCCUCACCCACGAUUCUCCGGACGAGAGUCUCUCUCGCUCUCCGACCCGGCGACUCCGCAUAUCUCACCAAAUCUCAGCUCCUUCUGUCACCGCACGGCUCAACCGUUGCUUCGUCCGUCACUCCAUAAGCUUUCCAGGCUCGUAAUUCAUAUCCAGAGAGGCAUAAGUGUCGCUUAAUCUCAGUCACUCAGUCUCAAUCACUCAGGCAAUCUCGCUCAAACGACCUCAGCUCCACAGUCACUCCCUUAGGUCUUUGAUCGUAAUAUGGCCAUUUUAUUGAAGAAACCAUCAGGUUAUUCAAAGAUGGAGAAGGAAGAACCAGAAGAGAGAAUCCACAGAAGAGCCCAGUUCUUGAUCUACAAGGCCUUGGAGCGAGCAGAUUCUCAGAGCAAGGCUUUGUCAUGUUUGGGAGUCAGAAUCUCAAAGAUCAAAGUCAAGAUUGGGAGCAGAAUGAGGAGGAUGAGGAAGAGGAUUGUGCUUCACUUGAAAUCCUGGAAGCGAUUGUUCGGACGAAGAAGAUGAGCCUUCCUCCUCUGUUCAACUCAUAUGUCACCACAAUUAUGGGGAAUUGGCGUGCGUUGUAGUUCAUGGUGUACAUGCCCAACCCCCCCCCCCCUCCUUUUUUCCCUUCCCAAAACUUGCUCGGAUUCGAGCAUGGUUAUAUUCAAUUUGGGAGUAGCUCUCUAAAAGAUGUUUUUUGACAUUUCACGCGAACUUGAAUUCAAGACAUCGUGCUUAAACAAUAA